rfam:Camelus ferus unplaced genomic scaffold scaffold719, whole genome shotgun sequence.
GAGGGUACAGCUCAGUGGUAGAGCACAUGCUUAGCAUGCACAAGGUCCUGGGUUCAAUCCCCAGUACCUCCA